GUGAAUAAAGAGUGCCAAACAUUUGCCUUAUGUAGAGACACUGAUCAUUUUACAAACAUGCAAGCAGGGGAGUUUCCUGCUGUUGAGGAUCCGCGACAUAGCCUAGGCAUUCUCAGCCGGCCUUCCUUGCUUUUCUCCCCUCCUCCCACUAUACUCAUUUUUUUUCUGAAUGGGUGUCCUCUGUCUAACCUCUCAAUUCAGAAUGUUGAAACAGGACACUGUGCUGAACAGUGAUAGGUUGCCAGAGAAAUGCUCAGCCCCUCAAAGCCAGCUAUAGGACCUCUGGGAGUCAGUCUGCAGUGUAUAACUGCUUGACGAGAGAGAGAGAAAGAGAGAGAGAGAGAGAAGGAGGGCCAUUCUAGAGGAAGGGAGGGAGCAACUCGGAGCGAGAGAGCGAGGGAGGGAGAGGAUUUUAAAUCCGAUGACAGUGAUAACAGUGAUAGUCAGCUCAGGCUCGAGUGGCGGAAGGGUCUCAGCUGAAUCAGGAAGCCACCUCUGGUUUGACAUAUACAGCUUUUAUCACCAAUGUUGCUGUCACUUUAAGACUGUUACUGAUUAGCCGCCGAAGACUGACUGGACAGAGAAAAAAGGACAGACCAAAAAAGAGAGACAGAAAGGAAGAGAGAAGGAGAGAGUUUCAAGCUGGGAAUCACAUGGAGAACACCAAGGCUGAACAGGGAGAAGACUGAGACUCAGCACAUGCAAGCAACAUUCAGCCAUCAGGAAAUACUCCUUUCACCCAGACUGAUGAGCAAGGAUGCCAAGGCACUGAAGCUGACUCUGUUUUACAACGAGGGCUGUUUCUGUGCCAUACUGGUUUGCUCAUGAGCUGCUCAGUAGUCAGUGUAGAUCCUGUGUUGCAAUCAGCAGCUACAUCUGGCUACUGGGUCUCUGAUGGCAUUCUGUGCUUCCUGUUGGCACAUUCCAUUCAGAUUAUGCGGUAUGUGGACUCCAUCCUGUCAUUCACAAAAUAGCACCCUCUGUAUUAGAAGGGCUGAAGACUUUCCCUGCUCUUGUUAUUUAAUUUAGCUGUCCAUAAGGGUUUCAGAAUUUGACCUCUUCACACAUCUCCAUUAGUUUAUUGUGUUUUUGGCUUAUUGUUUCUCUAAAUAAUUUGACACGCACUCUGCAUGCAGUGGUGUUGUUGAAGCAACUAGAAAUUAUUUCAGACUUCUGUUUUGACAUGGUGGUAUUGUCCGAUGAAUGGAUCCAGCCAUUGUCUCUCGACUGACUGUUGAAGAUGCAGUUUGAGUGAUUUGAUGACAAAGGAGAAGGCAAGAUGUCACAUUCUUUGUGUGAUUAGGCUGUCAUAGUGGCUGGGUUUGUGUGAAUGCCUUCAGUUGCUGACGGCUGAGAAAUAAUGAAUGUGAAUCUUUUGCACAUGCAGAAGCCCAUCACUUUGCGAGGGCGAAUGAUGAAUUCUUUUGUGUUGUCCCGAACCUGGCAUACAAUGUAGAAUUCUGUGUGGUACAAUCUACAGCUACAUUGUCUGCUGGGUUUCAGGCUGGCCAUAAAUGCUCAUCAGUUCAUUAUAUGAAUAGGUAAGUAACCAACUGUUAUUAAAUGUUUAAAGUAAAUGUUGAGAACACAAUAAAAAAAAAGUAAUAAAACAUGCAGUGGAGUGUUUCUCAUUAUUUCUUGGAGGACCCUCUACAGGAAAGAGAAUUCUAUUUGAACACACAAUGUUUCAGUGAUGAAAUUUGUAGGGCAGCACACUCCUGACAGACUGUCACAAUUUUGCUAAGGACAAAAAUAGAAUCCUGCAUAUGACAACAGUGUGCUCUAUCCUUAUCACCAUUAUUAAACUGGAAGGUCCUUUUCCCAGAACACACACUGAGGCCCUGUCUCAGUCUCUCUCGUUCUCUCUCACACACAAACUGAAUGAAAUAAAAAUAAGUGACUUUAGAAAAAAAAACAGCAUUAAUCUAAAAGGUGACACAAAACAAUAAUUUGCCCUUCAUUUCCACCUCACCAGGAGGCAGAGGUAUUGUCUAAAUAAUAUCAAGGCUUACAGUCAAACACAGACUAAUGAAGAAUCCCUGUAUCUGUAGAGAACUUCAUCUAUCAGAGACAGUCACAGUAUUGACGCAAUACUUACUACGAGCGCAGAUCUGCCCAUCUUUCAAUGCAAUUAUAUCUGGAUAUAACUUAUUUUACACACUAUACCUCUAUCUUUUGAUUGAAAUGUAAUUUGUUUGUUGUAUUACUAAGCAAUACUGUGCCUAUUAAGGCAACAAAUCAACACAAAUAAAAAAUGGACACCAUGCUGCUCAUGCUUCCCAUUAGAGCCUAAAUGAACACUGUUAAUUUAGCAAAAACAAUAUGGUUCCCAGUGGUACCUCCACAUUUGCAAGUCUGCACCGUAUGUCAUUCAUUCUUUUGUGCCUGGAUAUGGCCUAUGCCAAGCAGGCGCCCAGGACAGCAGGGCAUGCGCUAAUGAUCAGGCCCAGGUGUUUCCAAUGAUGCCGCUUCCCCUCACCGUACUGUUUGGACAGCAGGAAUGUAGAGGCAGUGCAGGUGGUCAAGGGGGCCGUAUGUUCUCCAUACAGGGCUCACGACUAGCCCAGCCAGUGAAAACUGGAACCACUUCAAUAAAAAAGAAAAAAGGAAAAAGGAAAAAAGAAGGGCACAGUCAGGUCUGAUCCAUGGCUGGGCUGUUUCCCCUCACUGUUGCCUCACCCAUGAGGCACACAUGAUUAUAAGGAUAUGGGAUUAUUAAUUCUAACUAAAUUCAAUAUGCUUCUAGAAACUGGUGUCGGUAACAGUAUUUUUCUAUUUAUAUUUAUCCAUAAAUAUUAUAACUGUCUAAUGGCUGUUAUUUUCACUAAAUAGGACCAUUGUAGUUGUAAUUUAAAACUGAUGCUGUAACUUACAAAAUACUUUUGACCACAAGUUUAGCUUCGCCGUCCACUGAAAACAAGGAUUUCCAAAGGGAGAGGCUGUACAGCGAAAGUAUUUCAGUAAUGUAAACUUCUGAAUGCCAUGUAAUGGGACUAAAUUGCUCCUUUGAUAACUUGUGAGGCAAGUGCUCUGAGAUGACAUCAGCGGGUGUCCUCCAGGGCACACUGGGACAUGGGUGGAAUGCUAAUUGACGCACUGCCAGGGUCUCCGUGAGGCGACGGCCGGGACUGAUAAUGAGGCUCAGAGCCAAGGCCUGGAUUUUAUCCUCAGCCCCUCCUUAGACCCAGCAUUACACAUUUUAGGCCAAAGGUGAAGGUGGAGAGUACUGGGCAGAUCUCCAGCUCAUUUACAUCACUGAUAUCAUGUGCACAGGAUACAGUUUGCCUGAGGCAAGUAGUGUUACUGCUCCUAUUAUGCACAGACAUAUACACAUCCAAUCAAUACCACCAACAUUUCCAAGAGGACAUCCACUGGAACCAUCAAUAUAAAACAUACACAGACAAAUACACACCUCACAAGCUAAUACCCAGAUAUUUCACAAAACAAAAAAAGUCAUGGAGAAAUAUUAAUCACAGGCAACCCUGACCUUUUCUGAGUGAUUGCGUGAAUGUGCAGUAAAACGUUAUGCAAAGUUUGGCAUAUGAAAAUUACAGGCUCAAAGUUUAUUGUUUAUAUGAAACCAAAAUGUGUGGCCAAGGAGAGAUGCAGUCAGAAAUGUUUACAUCAGGCAGUUCCAUUUAAAUUUUACAUGGAACACAAGAAUACUAGGAAUAAAAUGAAUAAGGAAUAACAUAAGAGGAAUAAAAUUCCCUCCCUAAUGAGCACUUGCUUGUGUGUUGUAUUUUCCUUCAGUACCUGAGUGACUCAAAGUCAAGCACAGAACUGAUAUAAACCCCAGUGCCAGGGGCAGAUUACAAACUGACAAAUAAAGUUUCUAUAUCUCAAUUGCCCAGAGUCAAGUCCAUCUGCUCCACUGGGUGCCAUGGAGAUUGGGCUGCACCAGUAUGGCGAAGAGAGAAUCAGUCUGGCUGGAGAGACAUUUGGUGUGAAAAAUACCUCCCUCCAACUGUUCCACAAGAUGAGCCAAUCACAGUUAUAGGCAGAAUUUACCCAUUUCUGUUUAAAAUGUUUUGUCUAUAAUUAAGGCAGCAGUCCCACUGAAGAUUCUGAAUUUCAUAUAAGGCUGAUUUACAGCUAAGCAUUUAAAAAAAAAAAAGGUUGUAAACAGGUUAGAUACUUCAGUUCACACACUCUUACAUAAGCUUCACCAAACCUUCAAUAGGUGAGUGCACGUCUCAGGAAAGUAUCAAUUAUACAUGAAAAACACAGUCUUAAUGAUAUAAGAUCAAGCGGAAAUCAUCUAUAAAGCUGUACUAGCACAGACAAACCGACAUGAUCAUGCCUGUUAUAUCCAGUUACCAAACCCUGCCAUGAGUCAUACUACAUGGCUAUAGGCUUUGGUGAGACAAUUUGGUACCUCUGGCAGCCCCUUGCGUGGGUGGGAGCACAUUCUCAAAAUAUUACUCAGUUCUCAAUCUA